UACGGAGGGUGCAAGCGUUAUCCGGAUUCACUGGGUUUAAAGGGAGCGUAGGUGGGUUGAUAAGUCAGUGGUGAAAUCCCCAAGCUUAACUUGGGAACUGCCAUUGAUACUAUUAAUCUUGAAUACUGUGGAGGUAAGCGGAAUAUGUCAUGUAGCGGUGAAAUGCUUAGAUAUGACAUAGAACACCGAUAGCGAAGGCAGCUUACUACGCAGUUAUUGACACUGAGGCUCGAAAGCGUGGGGAUCAAACAGG
rnacentral:rRNA from 1 species